GAGGCUCUACAGCUAUUAUUGGCAUAUUGAGUUAUUGGAUCAGGUUUAAAAGCUCUAUUGUGAUGGUAAGAAAAUAGUUUUAAAGCUGGAGAAUUUUUAGAACUAAGGAUUUGAUAUUUGUUCAAGUCCAUUAAGAAGGGAGCCAAGGAAGAAGCAAGGGGAAGUUAGUACGGAAGAAAAAGCCAAAGCAAGAGCAAGUACUCCUAAGGGCAAGGGAGUAGUGAUUAGUGGAGCUUGAAGGUGCAGGAAGUUGAAG